rnacentral:rRNA from 1 species
AGUGAACGCUGGCGGUAGGCCUAACACAUGCAGGUCGAACGGCAGCACAGUAAGAGCUUGCUCUUACGGGUGGCGAGUGGCGGACGGGUGAGGAAUACAUCGGAAUCUACUUUUUCGUGGGGGAUAACGUAGGGAAACUUACGCUAAUACCGCAUACGACCUACGGGUGAAAGCAGGGGAUCUUCGGACCUUGCGCGAUUGAAUGAGCCGAUGUCGGAUUAGCUAGUUGGCGGGGUAAAGGCCCACCAAGGCGACGAUCCGUAGCUGGUCUGAGAGGAUGAUCAGCCACACUGGAACUGAGACACGGUCCAGACUCCACGGGAGGCAGCAGUGGGGAAUAUUGGACAAUGGGCGCAAGCCUGAUCCAGCCAUACCGCGUGGGUGAAGAAGGCCUUCGGGUUGUAAAGCCCUUUUGUUGGGAAAGAAAAGCAGCAGGUUAAUACCCCGCUGUUCUGACGGUACCCAAAGAAUAAGCACCGGCUAACUUCGUG